rnacentral:lncRNA from 1 species
UACUACUUAUUUUCAUCUUAUUUUAGUUCAUUUUGUUUGCAUUUAAUAAUAUAUAUUACAUUUUUAUGUGUAUUUGUGUAUUUUCACAUUUUAGAGAGUUUCCAUCAGUUUUGGAGUAGAUUAAACCUAAAAUAGAUGACACAUCUAUGUGUAUGAAGGUCUUAACGAUAUCUUUUGAAGCUCAUCUCUUGAUACAACAUAGUAAAUUGAGUUAGCUUUCCAAUAGAGAUGGUUUCAA